CUCCUAACUGGUCAAGAUGUUGAGAAUAGAUGAUUUGGGGUCCCCAGUCCUAAAUGCAAUAGCUGCAUCAGCAUUCCUCUCACCCUGAAAAGACUCAGGGAACAUCAAGGAAGAGGAGGCAGAAAACACUAAAAGCUGGAGGAUGAGGUAGAGUGAUGUGAAACCUUUGGGACAUGCCUUGGUCGUUGCCCUCGGGGAACUCCUAUCAGCUGUGGUUACACGUACAUGAAAAUCCGAUCAAAAUUUCUAGCUUGCAUCAGGGAUGGCUCAUGAUGCCCUGCUCCUAGCUGAAGAACUAUUGGCAGCUAAUGGUGGUUGAGUGAGGGAGAGUCAUUUUAAUUUGGGGUUGUAGUCACUUGUCCUAGAUCGGUUCUAUUGCUGUGGUAAAACACCAGCCAAAUCAAACUCGGGGAGGAAAGGGUUCAAUUAGCUGACAGGCCAGAGUCCAUCACGGAGGGAAGCCAAAGCAGGAGGUCAAGUCAGGAACCUGGAGGCCAGAACUAAAUCAGGGACCAUGAGGAAGUGCUGCUUAUUGCCUUGUUUCUCAUGGCUUGCUCAGUUUGCUUUGGUUCACACCUGGGACCUCCUGCUGAGGGGCUGGUGGUGGGCUUCAUGCUGGCAGAGCUUUGGGGUGGCACAGAGUAUCUCAGGGUAAGCCAGUGUACCUUUGUGGCCAUGUGGUCCCCAUCCUGCUCCCAAUCAUGAGAGCCCAUCCUUGUGGCUGAACUGAGUCUGAGACGACCCUCAUCAGGAUGUAGUCCUACGCCUCCAUGGAGCUCUGCUAAGUGUUUUCAGCUCAUUUCUCUGAUGCUCAGAUCCCAUUGGAGUUGCUCAUAUCCAAAAAAUAAACCGGAUCCACUGGAAGGGAGGAAGGAGCAGAGUAAGGGCUGCCUGAUCAGAGAUCCACCAAUGCCUGGCUUUGCCAGUUGACCUGGAAGCCAGAAAGGACUCACUCACUCCUAACAAGAAGGCAAUUCAGCACCAUGCAGAUGGAGCAAAGAAUCCCAUUUGAGCAGGAUUCAGAAAACAGUCAUGACUGAAGCCUGACCAACAGGAGCCGAGGCCACGGAUUCUGAACCACAGCAUAUAGCCGCAGUGGCUGAGAAAAAGCCCUGGCACUGCAAGCUGGUGAUCAAUCCUUUAACAUAAAGACUUUUGAAGGUAUCUUCAAACCACCGGGGACUUGAAGCAAGAUGAAUCUUUGCACAAUGUGGAAGAGUGGGAAUUUCCAGACGCAUCCCCAAAGAUAGAACCCUCAAAGGGAGAGAUUUAAAAGCUAUUCAAUAUACAGAUACCCAUUCGUUUCACACACCUCUGUAGACAGUCACAGAACAAGCUAUGGAUAGACGCAAAAGACACCUCUGUAAAUCCUCCCAGCAGAAGACAUCGACCCAUAUCACCGAACAGCAGUACAAUCGUGUACACUUGCAUGUUUUCAUCUCCUCGUUCCUUUCCAAAACAAACAGAAAACCUUAAGCCUUAACCCUUAGACACUUAAAACAAAGCAGACGUGAAAUCCAUGGCUUAAAGAAGAAAAAAAAUCUAAAUUAUAGCUGAGGGAACCUUAGUAAGUACCAGCUUUGAGCCAUUGGACCUGCGGCUGGGCCAGCAGCUUUGUGCAGCGUUAUUUUCUGACUUCCAAAGCUUUUUGUUAAGUCAUGGUGGUAAAUGGAAGCCAGGUUUUGUUCCCUUUCUUUGCAUUUCUUGGAUGAAAUCUCAAGGAGAACACAUCACCCAGAUGGAGACAAUACAAUGGCCCUGGGUAGCACCGGCAGGGUGGAUCAUCAGAAUGCUGUCCCUAAUAGCCACGUUUUCCAGUCUCUCAAGAAAGCUGCCAGAGGAUAGGGAUGUAGUUUGGUUGGCAGAGUUUUGCUUAGCCUGCUCGAGGCCCCGGGUUGAAUCUCAGGGUUGCAUAAACUGGACACAGGUGGUAUGGUGCUGCUUCCUCUGCGUGGGAGGAGGCAGGAGGAUCAGAAGGUCAGGGUCACCCUUGUUUAUUUAGGGAUUUUUGAGACCGGCCUGAUACAUGAGAGGGGGUAGGAGAGACAAGGAGGUGGCCAGGGAGGGAGAGGGGAGCAGAGGGAGUGGAG